CUGACAACGCGAGAAACAUGGUUGUGGCGGGAGUAGAGGCCGAGAUGUCCCCUCACCUUUUUUGCUUUGCGCACACAUUAAAUCUGGCUGCCCAGAAGGCCUUGCAUGUGACCACUGCUACGAAGGUGCUUGGGAAAGUGAGGAGGGUGGUUGGAUUUUUCCACCGUAACAUAGCAGGUGCUGAACUACUGCGACAAAAACAACAGCAAAUGGCAUUGCCCUCCCACAAGCUCAUCAAUGACGUUACUACCCGGUGGAACAGUUCCCACGACAUGCUCGAACGUUUUUUGGAGCAACAAUCUGCAGUUUUUGCCACACUUAUGUCAAGGGAGCUCAGAAAAGGAGAAGAUGUAAGCGCUCUUACUGAAGGAGACCUCUGCAAUGCUGAGGACAUGGUGAAAGUGAUGGCACCUGUCAAAGUUAUCACCACAGUUAUGUGCAAAGAUGAGCAGCCCACAAUUUCGUUGAUUGCCCCCUUCAAAGCAAAACUAAAGAAUCACUUUGAGGCCACUACUGAGGACACAGGGCUCAUUAAGGAUAUGAAGAAGGUGUUCCUCGAAGAUUUUGUUAAGCGGUACACAAACAUUGAAGACCUGUUGUGUACUGCAUCAGCUUUGGAUCCACGCUUCAAAACCCUUUCCUCAGUGACCGUGAGACCGAGAGGAUCUUCUUGUCCAUUACAAAUGAAGCUACAAACCUGCAUGAUAAGAAAGUAGAGGAGAGCCAUCCCAGUCCGAGUGAUAUUCAAGAGCCAGAUCAGAGAGACCCAACAUCCGUCCAGUCCAGCCCAGUCCAGGUCCAUGAAGAACCAAGAGGUGAUUGUCCUCCAUGUAAAAAGAGGAAAAGUACAGCACUGGACCAGCUGUUUGGAGAAACAUAUGUGGUAAGACCAUCAAGAAGCUCCAGGGAGAAGGUCAGCGAGGAAAUCCUGAGGUACAGAGAGAGAAACCUUUUGCCCCUGAAUGGCAAUCCACUGGAGUGGUGGAGAGCACAGGUGGACUUACCAUUGUUGUCAGAUAUUGCAAAAAGAUACCUCUGCAUACCAGCUACAAGUGUAGCAUCAGAAAGAGUUUUCAGUACCGCAGGAGAUAUUGUUUCCUCUCAACGCAGUGUACUUAGGGGUGACCAUGCCGAUCAAUUGAUUUUUCUCAAGAAGAAUCUUAAAGAACUCGAGCACAAAUGAAUUAUUAGGAGGUAGCUAAAGGAUAUCAGCAUACACUAAAUGUCCUACAAGAACAUACAUCUAACUAAAAGAGGAAACUGAAUCUAAAAAAAAGGGAUUGUAUUAGUUCUACUUAUAUAUAUAUUUUUUCUCCUUAUGCUGUGUUUGGCAGCAAUUUGUGCCAUUACAUUAAAGUAAUAAUCUAGGCCAGGAUGGCGGUUUUGGUUUAAACAAAAUUAGAUAUUUCCUAUUGCUGCUUCUUACAGUUCACAGCUUUACUUCGUGUUUGCAGUGAUAUUUCCUAGCUUCUUACAGUUCGCAGCUCUAUUUGUGUUCUCAGUGAAAGGUUGCACAUGUAUUAAUUGGUAUAAUGAUACCUUAUCUUGAGUCUGUAUGAUUUGCAGAGGCACUUAAUUUGCAGAAGCAUUUAUUCUAAAUAUGAGAAAAGGCCAAGGUCUAGCUGUUUUAUUUUAUUUUUGUAUUGUCAUCCAUCAACAAGGGACUUCUUUGGGUAUAGAAAAUAUAUUUUAUUUUAUUUAAUAUUUAAAUAUAAUUGUUUUGUAUUUCCUUAUGGUGUAUUUAUUUGGCUGCAAUGUGUGCCAUUACUGAAAUGUAUUUUUUUUUUUGUAUAUGUGAG